AUUGAACGCUGGCGGCAGGCCUAACACAUGCAAGUCGAGCGGAUGAAGGGAGCUUGCUCCUGGAUUCAGCGGCGGACGGGUGAGUAAUGCCUAGGAAUCUGCCUGGUAGUGGGGGAUAACGUCCGGAAACGGGCGCUAAUACCGCAUACGUCCUGAGGGAGAAAGUGGGGGAUCUUCGGACCUCACGCUAUUAGAUGAGCCUAGGUCUGAUUAGCUAGUUGGUGGGGUAAAGGCCUACCAAGGCGACGAUCCGUAACUGGUCUGAGAGGAUGAUCAGUCACACUGGAACUGAGACACGGUCCAGACUCCUACGGGAGGCAGCAGUGGGGAAUAUUGGACAAUGGGCGAAAGCCUGAUCCAGCCAUGCCGCGUGUGUGAAGAAGGUCUUCGGAUUGUAAAGCACUUUAAGUUGGGAGGAAGGGCAGUAAGUUAAUACCUUGCUGUUUUGACGUUACCAACAGAAUAAGCACCGGCUAACUUCGUG
rnacentral:rRNA from 1 species